AAAUGAAAUGUAUGUAGUCACUCUGGAUAAGAGUGUCUGCUAAAUGACUAAAG
rfam:Salmo salar isolate Sally breed double haploid chromosome ssa01, whole genome shotgun sequence.